rnacentral:rRNA from 1 species
GACGAACGCUGGCGGCGUGCUUAACACAUGCAAGUCGAACGGAAAGGCCCUGCUUGCAGGGUACUCGAGUGGCGAACGGGUGAGUAACACGUGGGUGAUCUGCCCUGCACUUCGGGAUAAGCCUGGGAAACUGGGUCUAAUACCGGAUAGGAGCCAUUUUUAGUGUGAUGGUUGGAAAGUUUUUUCGGUGUAGGAUGAGCUCGCGGCCUAUCAGCUUGUUGGUGGGGUAAUGUCCUACCAAGGCGGCGUCGCGUAGCCGGCCUGAGUGGGUGGCCGGCCACAUUGGGACUGAGAUACGGCCGAGACUCCUACGGGAGGCAGCAGUGGGGAAGAUUGCACAAUGGGCGCAAGCCUGAUGCAGCGACGCCGCGUGGGGGAUGACGGCCUUCGGGGUGUAAACUCCUUUCGCUAGGGACGAAGCUUUUUGUGACGGUACCUAGAUAAGAAGCACCGGCUAACUACGUG